GCGCACAUGGCGGAAUUGGUAGACGCGCUAGCUUCAGGUGCUAGUGAGCUUAUGCUCGUGAAGGUUCAAGUCCUUUUGUGCGUACCA
rnacentral:tRNA from 2 species